rnacentral:lncRNA from 1 species
GCAAGAUUCUUGCGUAGUUAUGCACGGAUCUCUAAAGAAGCUCCUCUUCUGAACAAGAAGCGGCUAAUAAGACGAUGGUCAUGGGACAAGCUUUUAUAGACCCGACCAUCGUGUAUUAACUACCUAAAAAGACUUAUUAUAUAAUGUAUUGAAUAGUAGGUAACGUUUUGGCACUACUAAUCUGGUUCAUCCGUCUACAAAGAGCUGUGUUUAUGCGCAUCUAUUAUCAGCUGCAGCAGCCGCGGAUGGAUUAGGCGGCCUUCGUUUUCUUUGUAUAUUCUGUAAUGGGUUUCAGUUUCUUCUUGGGUUUCGAUACCUAAGUUGAAGACUACUACUAAGAUCGUAACUGAAUAAGCCUCGUAAAGAGAGGGAUUGUGUAAACUACUCCAUUUUCUUCAUAGUUCGAUUAAUUAAGACAAUAAAUUUAGAGAUUAAAAAGUUAUGUUUGUUCGUAUGAAAAAUAUCGUAUUCAUAAAGCCUAGUUUUGAAACAUAUAGCAUAUCAUGUGUAAUGUAAACAAGUAUGUCAGACAAAAAAACUGAUUGUUUCCGUUAGUUUUUGGUUUCAGUUUUUGGUUUUUAAUUUUUAGAUUUUGGUUUUUGAUUUUCAGUUUUUGGUUUUGGUUUUUGGUUUUUAAAUUUUGGUUUUGCUGUUUUUUUAGUUUUUUUUAUGAAAUAAGCAAUACAUUGUUUUAAAAUAAUAAUUUUUUUAAAAAAUUAUCAUUAAAAUUUAUCAAAAUAUAGUGACUGUUAUUUAAAAUAAAAACAUUGCCAGGUUUUAAAUUAUUUUGUUUUUAAGUGUUAUACUUAAACAUAAUUAAUAAAAUAUCUAUAAAUUAUAAAAAUUAAAUAUUUUAAAAUUUUGAAACAAUUUCCCCCCCCCCCCCCCAACCUAAAGUAUCUAUAUAGAUUGAAAAAUUACAAGAUCCAUGUAAGAAAACCAUCUCCAAAUUUAAUUUCAAUUUAUCAGAAGCUAAAUUGUAGUUUCUUAUGUAUGCUUGGAAUCAGAAAUUCUUUUUUUUUCUUUGUCUAUAUAUAAUGUUUUAUUUUCUUUUUGAAAAAGUCUAUAUAUAUGUUUGCAUGGUUUUUUUCUUUGAUUUUCGUUUUGGCUUAAUAAUCCUAUAAUCAACUUCACAAUUUUGUUAAAUAUAAUAUAUAUAUGAAGGUUUUGAUAAAAAAAAAAAAUAUAUAUAUAUACAUAUAUAUAUGAAGGUUUAUUUAUGAGAAAAAGACAAAAAUAGCACUAAAUCAAGUUUUUGUUCUCAAACUAGCAUUCAAGGUCAAAAGUCACAAAAAUAGCACUUAAUGUUUUAUCAAGGUCUAUAUAUGAAUGUUUUAUCAAAAAAAAAAGUAUAUAUAUAUACAUAUAUAUAUAUGAAGGUUUAUUUAUGAGAAAAAGACAAAAAUAGCACUAAAUCAAAAACUAGCACUCAAGGUCAAAAGUGUGGGGUUUAGGAUUUAAGAUCUAGGGUCUAGGGUCUAGGGUUGAGAAAUGAGGUUUUGGGGAUAAGAUUUCAAAUUUUGAAAAAUAAAAAAAUUAAAAUUUUGAAAGGAUAAACUUAGAAAUGCGCUAUUUUGGUCAUUUUAGUUUUUGAAUGCUAUUUUUGUGAUAUAAACUUAGAAAUGUGCUAUUUUGGAGAUUUGCUUUUUAUUUAUAGGCUUACAAAAUAAAUAGUUAUCAUAUUUUUUUGACCGUUGCGAAUAUUUCUCCGCUGAUUUGAAGCUUCAAUUCCUCGUAGAAAAUUAAUUUAUAAGAAUAUUUUGGCAUAUUGUUGUAAAUUAUCAGUCUUUUACAAAAUAAAUACAAAUUAUCAUAUUGGUGUAAGAGUUAAUCUUGGGUUCUAAGUUCACUAACCAAUAGGAUUUCAUUAUUUCAAAUUCAAUAUUUUUUAAAAAAUGAAACAAAAUAUUGUCAAAUUAUAUUAUGUUUUAAAAAAAAAGUAAAGAAAAUAGUAGUUACAGAAAAAAUAAUUUUAAAAAACAUAUUUUUAACAUCGUCAGCAAAAUAUUAAACCCUAAAUCCUAAUCUCUAAACCUUCGGGUAAACCCUAAACCCUCGGAUAAAUCCUAAAUUUUAAAUAAAAAACACUAAAUAUUGAAACCCUAAGCCCUGAAUCCUAAACCCUAAACACUUGAGUGUUUUAGUGUUUAGUGAUUUUGAUUCAGAGUUUAAGAUUUAUCCUAGAGUUUAGGGUUUAUCCAAGGGUUUAGGAUUUAGGGUUUAUGGAUUAUGAUUUAAGUUUUAAUGUUUUGCCGAAGAUGGUUAAAAUAUGUUUUUUUGUAAUUACUACUAUUUUUUUUUUAUAUUUUAAUUUUAAAAAUAUAAUAUAAUUUGAUCAUAUUUUGCUUCCUUUUUUAAAAGAUAUCGAAUAUGAAAUAUCACAAUUUUUUUGGUUGGUGAACCUAGGGGCUGAACCCAAAAAUAAGUAUAUUGGCAUAUUCCUGAAAAUUGUUGUAGAUUAUUUCAGUCUUUUAAUUUAGACUUAUCAAAUGCUAAUUUAUCGGUAUAAUGUGUUAUGAAUACAAAACGUUAUAUCAGGUCUCUAAUAAGUUUUUGAUUUAAGAAACAGAUUAAAGAAGCAUUAACCGUAAAUGCAGAAAACAAGAGCAACGUUUCGUCACAAAGAUCAAACAAUGUCUCAGUCUGUAGAUCGGCAAACUGAUCUGGUCGGACACAACAACAACAACAACAACAAAGUGAUCACUAACCCACUGGCUAUGAGUCUCUUGAUUGGUCUGAAGAAUGACAAGUGCAUCUCAGAUUCUGAUUUUGUCAGAAGCCCUAAAUCUCCUCUGGAGUUUAAGAUGUUGUCUACAAUGGCUGCUGACCCAUUCUUCCUCAGAUCUCCUAGAUCCUCAUUCACUGCUCAUCUUAACUGCCCUGCUAAAGUUGGGUUAAGCAUUGUGGAUUCUCUCGGUGAUGAUCGGGCUCUGUCACCAGAUGUCGUGUUUGGACCAGCCUUGAGGAUCAAGUCCUCUGAUAUCAAGGACAAACAUCCCAAGUCCUUGAAGAUCGAAAAGGAAAGAUCUGGUGUUAUCUUCGAAAUCGGCUCAUUUUCUGCGGAUGAUUGUCCGACAAAGACCCGAGUUCUGUCUCAAUCCAAGUUUCCAAGGAUUGGUUCAGACAAUGCAUUCUCAUCUGAGGAUGAGAUGGAGAUGUCAGAGGACUACACUUGUAUCACUACGCAUGGUCCUAACCCGAAAACCACUCAUAUUUACGGUGACCAAGUUUUAGAGUGUCACAAGAAUGGGGAUGAUAACAAAGACAAGAGUAUCGAGACAGAGUUGGAUUCCAUGUUUACUUUGGACAACUUCCUCAGCGUAUGUAACUUAUGCAACAAGAAACUUGUACUUGGGAAAGACAUAUAUAUGUACAGGUGCGUGUUCCGUUUCCAAAUACUCUUUAAUUCGCACACAAAUAAGACAAAAGUUAGAUAGUGUAAUGAAAUUUAGAUGCACGAAAUGAUGUUUGUGUGGUGGUGAUGAGUUGCAGAGGAGAGAAAGCUUUUUGCAGCGCAGAGUGUCGUUCAGAGGAGAUGACAAUAGAUGAGGAGGACGUGCAAGAUUCUUGCGUAGUUAUGCACGGAUCUCUAAAGAAGCUCCUCUUCUGAACAAGAAGCGGCUAAUAAGACGAUGGUCAUGGGACAAGCUUUUAUAGACCCGACCAUCGUGUAUUAACUACCUAAAAAGACUUAUUAUAUAAUGUAUUGAAUAGUAGGUAACGUUUUGGCACUACUAAUCUGGUUCAUCCGUCUACAAAGAGCUGUGUUUAUGCGCAUCUAUUAUCAGCUGCAGCAGCCGCGG